GGCUCAGAUUGAACGCUGGCGGCAGGCCUAACACAUGCAAGUCGAGCGGUAGAGAGAAGCUUGCUUCUCUUGAGAGCGGCGGACGGGUGAGUAAUGCCUAGGAAUCUGCCUGGUAGUGGGGGAUAACGUUCGGAAACGGACGCUAAUACCGCAUACGUCCUACGGGAGAAAGCAGGGGACCUUCGGGCCUUGCGCUAUCAGAUGAGCCUAGGUCGGAUUAGCUAGUUGGUGAGGUAAUGGCUCACCAAGGCGACGAUCCGUAACUGGUCUGAGAGGAUGAUCAGUCACACUGGAACUGAGACACGGUCCAGACUCCUACGGGAGGCAGCAGUGGGGAAUAUUGGACAAUGGGCGAAAGCCUGAUCCAGCCAUGCCGCGUGUGUGAAGAAGGUCUUCGGAUUGUAAAGCACUUUAAGUUGGGAGGAAGGGUUGUAGAUU
rnacentral:rRNA from 4 species